rnacentral:rRNA from 1 species
CAGUAGCCGCGGUAAUGCGAAGGGGGCUAGCGUUACUCGGAAUUACCGGGCGUAAAGGGCGCGUAGGCGGCACGAUUAGUCAGGCGUGAAAUUCCUGGGCUCAACCUGGGGACUGCGCUUGAUACGGUCGAGCUAGAGGAUGGAAGAGGGUUGUGGAAUUCCCAGUGUAGAGGUGAAAUUCGUAGAUAUUGGGAAGAACACCGGUGGCGAAGGCGGCAACCUGGUCCAUUACUGACGCUGAGGCGCGACAGCGUGGGGAGCAAACAGGAUUAGAUACCCCUGUAGUCCCUGUCUCUUAUAC